rnacentral:rRNA from 1 species
GACGAACGCUGGCGGCGUGCUUAACACAUGCAAGUCGAACGUGAUUCUUGUGGAAAUUCUUUCGGGAAUGGAAAUGAAAUGAAAGUGGCGAACGGGUGAGUAACACGUGAGCAACCUACCUUACACAGGGGGAUAGCCGUUGGAAACGACGAUUAAUACCGCAUGAGACCACAGAAUCGCAUGAUAUAGGGGUCAAAGAUUUAUCGGUGUAAGAAGGGCUCGCGUCUGAUUAGCUAGUUGGAAGGGUAAAGGCCUACCAAGGCGACGAUCAGUAGCCGGUCUGAGAGGAUGAACGGCCACAUUGGAACUGAGACACGGUCCAAACUCCUACGGGAGGCAGUAGUGGGGAAUAUUGCACAAUGGGGGGAACCCUGAUGCAGCGACGCCGCGUGAGCGAAGAAGGUUUUCGAAUCGUAAAGCUCUGUCCUAUGAGAAGAUAAUGACG